rnacentral:ncRNA from 1 species
UUAUUCGGCCCCCUCGGGGGCUGGGUCGUCGCGCGAUCGCGAAGAUGACCGAAAUCGGCCGUUUAGAGGAAGUAAAAGUCGUAACAAGGUUUCCGUAGGUGAACCCUGCGGAAGGAUCAUUA